GGCCCCAUCGUCUAGUCUGGUCUAGGACACCGGCUUUUCAAGCCGAUAACUCGGGUUCAAAUCCCGAUGGGGUCA
rnacentral:tRNA from 1 species